UACGUAGGGGGCAAGCGUUGUCCGGAAUCAUUGGGCGUAAAGAGCGCGUAGGCGGUCCGGUAAGUCCGCUGUGAAAGUCAAGGGCUCAACCCUUGAAUGCCGGUGGAUACUGUCGGGCUAGAGUCCGGAAGAGGCGAGUGGAAUUCCUGGUGUAGCGGUGAAAUGCGCAGAUAUCAGGAGGAACACCAAUGGCGAAGGCAGCUCGCUGGGACGGUACUGACGCUGAGGCGCGAAAGCGUGGGGAGCAAACAGG
rnacentral:rRNA from 2 species